CUGGAGGAAACAUGGCCCAGAUCUAAUGGUUUGGCUACUAAACUGGUGAAAACAUGGCUGGUUUAGCACCUGGGUUGUAGUGAUAUAGCUAUUAAACUGGUUGAAACAUUGCUCACUUCUAGCAGUUUAGGUGGAAACAUAUGUUAGUUCUAUUGGGUUGGCUGUAAACUUGUGGAAACAUGGUUCAGUUCCAGUGGUUUGGCUAUUAUACUAGUAGGAACGGAUCAAUUCUAGUGGUUUGGCUAUUAUACUGGGGUGAACAUGGCUCAAGUCUAAUGCUUUGGCUGUUAUACUGGUGGAAACAGAUCAAUUCUAAUGGUUGGGCUAUUAUACUGGGGGAAAGAUGGAUCAAUUGUACUGGUUAGGCUAGGAGGGAGCAUGGCUCAGGUCUAGUGGUUUGUCUUCAUGCAUUCCAGCUCAAGCACACCUGGUGCAACUAAUGAAGCCCAUGAUUAGUUGCAUUAGGUGUGCUUGAGACAACACCUGUUUUGCAUAUUUGUGCUGUCGUGAGGGAUUCAAUUCAGGAGGUUGAAUAAUUUUGAGACUGGAGAAAUCACUAUAAGUUGCAUUUUCAGUUGAAUUUGGGGAAACCACUUGAAGCAUUCGUUGUGUUGAACUAUUUCAAUUGCUUUUGUUCGGUUUGUUUGUUGCAAACAGCUGAAAUUCUGUACUUUUUGACAAUAGACCUGAUUUGCAAUGGGGGUGGAAUAGAUUUGAUUGCAACUGUAGAGAAACUAUAGCAUGAAUUUGGUGUAACUUUCAUAGCAGGCUACCUCAUGUACAAACACAUUUUAUCAAUCAGGUACGCAAAACUACUGCAGGCUCAGUGCACAAUUGUUUCUGGCGGAAUAGAGUUCUAUCAGCCUGUUUGAAGGCAAGUUGAAGGCGUAUUUAUGCCUCCUCAUCUCUUUCUCUUACUUUGUCGUUAAAUCACAAACACACAUAGGGCACCACGAAUCUUUCACCCUUCCCUGGGGAAACAUCAUAACCGGCUGGUGAUAUCAAGGCCAAGCAAAAUGGCUGUUCAGAGAGGUUAGACGACUCGCAGAGUUCAAACGGCCUUUCUCAUGGAUACGCUUGUUCUCUGAGCAUGAAACCGAGGACCUGCAGACAAAUUCCGUUAUGGUGUUGUUGUAAAAACUGGUGGCAGGGAUCCUGCUGUGAGUUUUAGCUUGGGUAGAUAGUGUUCUCGAAUAAGACAGGCUUCAUCUUUGAUUCUGCACUCCAGCAAGAGUUCGGUGAGGGCACGUUCUUUCAAAUUCAACCCCCACUUAUUUUUGCUUCCUGCUUUCAUAAUGUCAUGCUUAGGCUAAGCCAAUUCUCUCUACAUUGGCAUCUCGGUUAAAUCCAGAAAUAACCUUCAAAUAUAUUCAAACUUCAGCUGCCAGACU
ensembl:lncRNA